UUUAAUUAUAAUAGAAAGCCAAUUGGUGACAGUCAACCUUUGCUCUCAAGGCAGCAGUUGGUGAAGCCCAAACAAGAGCAAAGGGAUGAUAAUCUUUAUGAUGCUGGGCAGUCCAGCAUUGAUCAUGUAAAUGCAUCUCGAUCAUCAUCAUCAGUAGUAUAUCAACGCAUCAUGGAAAACUUUCCAUCAUAGUCUUGCUUCUCAUAAAGUAGGGUCACAAGGGUUAAAAAGAAAAAAAGAAAAGAAAGGAAGACUCUGUUUGCCUUCAGUGAUUAAAGGUUUUUCUGUUUCAGUUCUGUUCUUA
rnacentral:misc_RNA from 1 species